ensembl:lncRNA
UGACCAGGUGAGUAAUGCAAAAGACUGUGUACAUCACACACUGACUUUGAAAAGGAUCGAAAAAUACCAAACUUCAUAUUAUUUCGUAAUAACCCAGCAGACAUAUUUCAAUUGCACAUGUGUUCUCUUGAUACAGGAUGACGGUGUAUAUGAGAAUAAUCCUCCUAAAACAAAAACCACACAGAUGAAACCUAUCAACAUGACUAUGACCAGACAAGUGCAUAAGAGGCAAGAAUAUGCAGUCUACGAGAACUCACAUGAACUUUAUGGAAAUCUCUGAUCAUAGUGUUAAGCAAUGAAAUUCAGAGAACCAGUUUAAACCUGAUGGUUAUAAGAAUAAUUUUUUUAAUACAUGCAUAGGAGACAAGUAUUUUGUACUUCCUCAUAUGACCACAAGGGGCACUAUGUCUGAUUCUGUUUCUUUCCUUUUACCUUUUUUUAAUAUAUACAUUUGUUGUUCCAUUUGAAGACAAUUUCUGCUCCUGACUUUAUUUUGUAGAAUCAUAUUUUGCAUAGCUGUUUGUUGUAUCUCACGUUACUACUCAUAUCAAUAUGAAAAUAUUACCAUUAUGGCAAUAAAAUAAAACUUCAUAAUCAUAGUCUCUACCUGUGUUUUUCAAAAUAAUUCCUUUAUUUACAUGCAUUAACCAAGUAGUAUUGUGUUGUGUAUUUCUCAAUGUCAUCUUUAAAGCUGCUGUGUAAUUUUAUGUUGAAAUCAUUUUACCUCUACCAGAAUAAUAUGCAGUAUAUAAUAAUUACGCUUCUAGACAGAUGGCCCAUCUCAAAAUAUACCUUUUUUUUUCACCAAACAUUAGUGCUAAGUGCAAAAUUAGCUCACCACUGGCCAGUGGCCACUGUCUGUCUUGAAGCAAGAACCAUUAAUGUCAAAUACAGGGUGUUGUAAUGUCCUAAAACAAAACGUUUUCAGCUGGUUUCAGUGUGCUGACAUAUCAGCCCAUAGAGACAGAAACAUUACAGCUCAGACCAAUGAAAAACAUCAAGCACACAAAGGAAGUGGUCCUUGGACUCUGCAAACAUCUGUGGUAUUUCAAGUCUAUGAAAACACAAACAUGCCCCUCUAUCUCCAUUAUCUGGAGACUUAAAGGCUUCUCUGUUAAAGCAGCAAAGAGAUCACACACAACAGGAUUACUGCUCAAAAUGAAGUUAUUCUGUGUUGUUUGGCUCUUGAUCUUUCUGUCAGGAUUUGGGAUAGCAAUCACCCGAGAGAUUUAUACACAUGGAUGCAGUGGAAAACAUGUCAUAAUUACAUUUUCCCAUAAAAGGGCAUUAAAAAAAAACCUCAAGUAUUUCUGCAGAGAUCCAUGCACAUAUAAAACUAGUGUUCGGGUCUCAUCUGAUCAAUCACUUAAUGGGAGAUACAGACUGGAUGAUUUGGGAAACGGCUCCUCCACUGUGAACAUCACUGAUCUACAGGAGUCAGACUCUGGCAUUUACUGGUGUGGAGUGAAGAGACCCAUAAGAGACACAUAUGAUAAAGUCACUCUGACAGUAUCUAAAGAUCCAAAUGAAAGCAUCACCACAUCCACACAACCAUACAAAGAAACACAAACAUGCCUGGAUUUGCACACCACUACACCAGUAGCACAUUCAGAAUCUCUGUCUACCACACCAAGCCUAACCUCCAGAGAGUCAAGUCCUGAUGUCCUCAAACUCAGUAACAGUGUCUGCACACACAAUUUGCUGUGGGUGGUCUGGUCAUAGCAGCGAUAUUAUUUUUAGUUGGAUUGGUCACUGUUCAUCAGAGCAGAAACAGAGUCAAGACAUCAGAAAGUAUGUGCACAUGACUGUGCUAAAUAUCAAAACUUAAUGCCUGAUUUGCAUUAAAAAAUAAGCCAAUACUCUUAUCUCUUUUCACAGUUUUCUUAUGUUGUGCAACAGCAACGCCUGGCAAAGUUGAAGAGGUGAGUAAUGCCAGUGAUUCUGCAAGGCAGUUACUGUCUACAAACAGGAAUUAAACAUCUUUACAUCUGAUCUUUACAUCUUUACAUCUGGUCAAAUGUUUAAUCUUUACAUCAUUUUACAAAGGUCUGGCAGCUACAUUAACAAUGUGCUUUUGUUUUGGCACAGAACAGCACAGAGAUGAAAUCUACAGAUGAGACUGAAGUCAAGAAAAGCCAAUCAGAUUCAGUCUAUCAGAAUCUAAACCUCAGCACGGUCCAAUCAAAUGAAGUAUAUGGAAAUCUCGGAUUGCUGAAUCAUUUAGUAAUAUUCAGAGUACCAGUCUCUAGACUAACAAUCCCAGAUCUCAAGUACAUUUAAUUCAACAAGCCUGUAAAAUACAAGUUUAUUAUGUACAGAGAAUAAGUAUGAAGAUAAAUAAAAAAAAUUAAAAAAAAGAAUCA